GAGGCAGGUGCCGAUGCAGGCGGUCAUUGGAUUGAUGCCAUUCUGCCUCA
rnacentral:tRNA from 1 species